UAUUGGUUUGCCUCAAACUCUGUGUGUCAUCAAUAUUUCCCAGACCAGAUGCAAAACACUGCAGACCUGCUGCAUUGCUUCAAAAUCUUGGUGCUGGCUGUGGAUCACAGACUUGAGUCAAAAUGAUCAUCAGGACAUCAGUAUCAGUAUCAUCCUGCCAACUCCAGCCAGGAGGGUCUGCAGGACAUCGUGUAGCCACGCUGGAAUCACUGAAAGCUGGCUUGCCCUGAGCUCUCAUCCUGCUCCAGGAGGAAUAGGUGGAAUCUGAUUACAGACCUAUUUUACAGCAGACGCCGGGGCGCAAUAAAGGGAGAGAGAGCACGGAAACGGGACUCGGCCCAUCAAUUAGAUCUCUAUUAGCAGCCAAUGCAGACCUCACCUCAGGAAACGCCGGGGCCCUGAAAUUAAACAAUUCUUCAAGCCCGACAAGCCAGUCAACUCUGCUAUAUGUUUGAGAGAGGAUUAGAGUGGGGGUGGUGUCCUUACCGAAGCAAACUAUUCUACAAUUCUUGUUAUAAAAUCAUUAAAAAUAAUCAUUAUGGACCAUAUG